CAACUGACUGAUUUUUUGUUUUGUUUUUGUAUUUUGAUGGAGGAUGCAGGAAAGGGGUUAUUUGGCGUUUUCCUAAGGAUUCUCCAUGGAAAAUAUCAUGGAGCCUAAAGUAACCAUAUCAUUUGUCACAAAAACAAACAAACACCAAAACUAUCUGAAGACAUAGCGGAGACAGAGUGAACUUACAGAAAGUGGCCUUUUGAAUUCCUGGUUGGAAUGUCUGAUAAAUCAAACCUACUGUGUGAUGUUGGAGAGAGCAUUUUUCAAUUUAUCGCAGAUCCCACAAAACUACCAUGGCCCCCAAAGGAGACAUUGCAUACUCUAAUAUGA
rnacentral:lncRNA from 12 species